GGUAGUAAAAGUCGUAACAAGGUUUCCGUAGGUGAACCUGCGGAAGGAUCAUUAUUGUAUAACCGAGGUGCGAGGGCUGUCGCUGACCCGAAAGGUCGUGCACGCCCGAGUGCCCUCACACACAUCCAUCUCACCCCUAUGUGCACCACCGCGUGGGUCCCCCUUUGGCUUGUUCGGAGGGGGGCUUACGUUUUCACACAAACUUUGUAUGCAGUGUAGAAUGUAUUUUUUGUUUUUGCGAUCACGCAAUCAAUACAACUUUCAACAACGGAUCUCUUGGCGCUC
rnacentral:misc_RNA from 1 species